GUUUGAUCCUGGCUCGAAUGAACGCUGGCGGCAGGCCUAACACAUGCAAGUCGAACGGAGUUAUAUUGUAGCUUGCUAUGGUAUAACUUAGUGGCAGACGGGUGAGUAAUGUAUAGGAAUCUACCUAGUAGUACGGAAUAAUUGUUGGAAACGGCAACUAAUACCGUAUACGCCCUACGGGGGAAAAAUUUAUUGCUAUUAGAUGAGCCUAUAUUAGAUUAGCUAGUUGGUGGAGUAAUAGCCUACCAAGGCAAUGAUCUAUAGCUGAUCUGAGAGGAUGAUCAGCCACACUGGAACUGAGAUACGGUCCAGACUCCUACGGGAGGCAGCAGUGGGGAAUAUUGGACAAUGGGCGAAAGCCUGAUCCAGCCAUGCCGCAUGAGUGAAGAAGGCCUUUGGGUUGUAAAGCUCUUUUAGUAAGGAAGAUAAUGACGGUACUCACAGAAGAAGUCCUGGCUAACUCCGUGCCAGCAGCCGCGGUAAUACGGAGAGGGCUAGCGUUAUUCGGAAUUAUUGGGCGUAAAGGGCGCGUAGGCGGAUUAGUAAGUUAAAAGUGAAAUCCCAAGGCUCAACCUUGGAAUUGCUUUUAAAACUGCUAAUCUAGAGAUUGAAAGAGGAUAGAGGAAUUCCUAGUGUAGAGGUGAAAUUCGUAAAUAUUAGGAGGAACACCAGUGGCGAAGGCGUCUAUCUGGUUCAAAUCUGACGCUGAGGCGCGAAGGCGUGGGGAGCAAACAGGAUUAGAUACCCUGGUAGUCCACGCUGUAAACGAUGAAUGUUAAAUAUGGGAAGUUUUACUUUCUGUAUUACAGCUAACGCGUUAAACAUUCCGCC
rnacentral:rRNA from 1 species